rnacentral:lncRNA from 1 species
AAAAAUUUGCCUUUGAUUUUGAACAUGAUAUUUCCAUUCAUGUCCGUGACAGCGAAAUUGCCCUCCGUAAUGGUCAAAACCUUUCUGACGAUAGCUAGAUCAACAGGUUGAGGGCAGCAGUACUGAGGGCCAAUCACCGAACCAGGAUUAGCAUAAGCCAAGCCCGAGGGUGGGUAAGGGUAAGGGUAAGCGCUUGGUGCUUCUGCUGGCGGAGGUGGUCCUUGUUCCAUGGCCCAACUAACCUUUUGAUGCUCCGCCUGAGUAUCAGAGUAUGGGCUUCUUUUCUGACUCCGAGGCUCCCUAUAUAGUCG